rnacentral:rRNA from 1 species
AGAACGAACGCUGGCGGCAUGCCUAAUACAUGCAAGUCGAACGAACUCUUCGGAGUUAGUGGCGCACGGGUGCGUAACGCGUGGGAAUCUGCCCCUUGGUUCGGAAUAACAGUUGGAAACGACUGCUAAUACCGGAUGAUGACGAAAGUCCAAAGAUUUAUCGCCAAGGGAUGAGCCCGCGUAGGAUUAGCUAGUUGGUGAGGUAAAGGCUCACCAAGGCAACGAUCCUUAGCUGGUCUGAGAGGAUGAUCAGCCACACUGGGACUGAGACACGGCCCAGACUCCUACGGGGAGGCAGCAGUAGGGAAUAUUGGACAAUGGGGCGAAAGCCUGAUCCAGCAAUGACCGCGUGAGUGA